rnacentral:lncRNA from 1 species
UAUAUGCUGGCCAGUGGCGUCCGAUGUUCUGCCCAUUUAUCCACAUUUGACCUUUCCCCAUUGUGUUCAUGUCUAAAGCCAAUGGUUCAUUGCCUGUUGGUGAGUCAAAAGUAGACUGCAAAAAGAGAUGGUGAAAAUUCUGCCCUGUGGAUUUCGGUUUUCAUUAUAUUGAUCUAACUUUGUUGGUGGUCAUGAUUCAUUGAUUCCUCUGUUUCUCUUACCUUGUACCAGGUCAAGGGCUGCUUUUUAGCCACUAAUGAUCCUUCUUUCCAUUCUACCGUUGAACUCCCGGCUAAGGUAUGAACGCUCAGAGCUUCACCCUUAGUACCAAUCUGCUUGAAACACAAAUGAACAAAUGUUUAUUUCAUUGUUAAUGAUUGUUGGUAAGCAAACUCGUUUCUCUUGAAUUUCAGGAGGACCUUGUAAGACCAUUUCCAUUUAGUCAUGUCCCAUGUUCCGGAGUUAACUCCAUUCAGUGUCACUGGGCCAAGAACUCCAGUAUUCCAAGUCUCAUAAUGCACGCCAACGUUCUGUGAGCAAUGAAGGACCAGGAAGCUUAGAACGUAAUCAGUGUAUGAGAAAAAAGCGCAGAGAUAAACUGAGGAGAACUAACCGGCAGACCCGCUGCAGUACUCAAUAGA